rnacentral:rRNA from 1 species
UACGAAGGGGGCUAGCGUUGCUCGGAAUCACUGGGCGUAAAGCGCACGUAGGCGGAUUGUUAAGUCAGGGGUGAAAUCCUGGAGCUCAACUCCAGAACUGCCUUUGAUACUGGCGAUCUCGAGUCCGGGAGAGGUGAGUGGAACUGCGAGUGUAGAGGUGAAAUUCGUAGAUAUUCGCAAGAACACCAGUGGCGAAAGGCGGCUCACUGGCCCGGUACUGACGCUGAGGUGCGAAAGCGUGGGGAGCAAACAGG